CCUCAAAUCAGGUAGGACUACCCGCUGAACUUAAGCAUAUCAAUAAGCGGAGGAAAAGAAACUAACAAGGAUUCCCCUAGUAACUGCGAGUGAAGCGGGGAAAGCUCAAAUUUAAAAUCUGGUAGUCUUUGGCUAUCCGAGUUGUAAUCUAGAGAAGCGUUAUCCGCGCUGGACCGUGUAUAAGUCUCCUGGAAUGGAGCGUCAUAGAGGGUGAGAAUCCCGUCUUUGACACGGACUACCAGGGCUUUGUGAUACGCUCUCAAAGAGUCGAGUUGUUUGGGAAUGCAGCUCUAAAUGGGUGGUAAAUUCCAUCUAAAGCUAAAUAUUGGCGAGAGACCGAUAGCGAACAAGUACCGUGAGGGAAAGAUGAAAAGAACUUUGGAAAGAGAGUUAAACAGUACGUGAAAUUGUUGAAAGGGAAACGCUUGAAGUCAGUCGCGUUGACCGGGGAUCAACCUUGCUUCUGCUUGGUGUACUUCCUGGUUGACGGGUCAGCAUCAAUUUUGACCAGUGGAAAAAGUUCAAGGGAAUGUGGCAUCUUCGGAUGUGUUAUAGCCUUUGUUCGUAUACAUUGGUUGGGAUUGAGGAACUCAGCACGCCGCAAGGCCGGGUUUCGAACCACGUUCGUGCUUAGGAUGCUG
rnacentral:rRNA from 1 species